rnacentral:rRNA from 1 species
AUUGAACGCUGGCGGCAGGCCUAACACAUGCAAGUCGAGCGAGCGGCGGACGGGUGAGUAAUGUAUGGGGAUCUGCCCGAUGGAGGGGGAUAACUACUGGAAACGGUGGCUAAUACCGCAUAACAUAGGAUGAACCCAUAUGGGAUUAGCUUGUAGGUGGGGUAACGGCUCACCUAGGCUACGAUCCCUAGCUGGUCUGAGAGGAUGAUCAGCCACACUGGAACUGAGACACGGCCCAGACUCCUACGGGAGGCAGCAGUGGGGAAUAUUGCACAAUGGGCGCAAGCCUGAUGCAGCCAUGCCGCGUGUAUGAAGAAGGCCUUCGGGUUGUAAAGUACUUUCAGCGGGGAGGCGUUACCCACAGAAGAAGCACCGGCUAACUCCGUGCCAGCAGCCGCGGUAAUUC